GAGCGUGAGCUGCGCGCCGAGAGCGGAAGAGGAGACGCAGUUUGGCGGCUGUGGGGAUUUGCCGGAAGGUUAAUAAUGUCCAUGGGCACAUCGGCCUCCUCCUUUCUUAUUCUCUCCCAAGUGUAAUUCCAGGACGCCCCCUGAGCGCAGAUUCAUCCAGGCAUUUGGCCUAGAGGCCCGCGGAGGAGAAAUAAAGUACAGGCCUGGUAGGACCUUUGAGAACCUGGGCUUCAGCUACAAAACCAGAGCCCCAGUCCUUCAUCUGCUGUCUCCUCAAGCUCUUUUCAGUGUAUUGUGGAGUUCAUUACCACUCUAAGCUCGCACGGAAGUGUACACCAGCUUCGUGAUCUUAAAAGCAAAACAAAAUCAAAUGGACUAGGAAUUAACUUGAAGCAGAGUUGUGACACUUAAGUGGUUUCUUGCCAUCAGUUUCCACGCACUGCUUUAAGAUGCAAUUUUACAAGGUACCACAUGAUGGAAGUCAGUCCAAUCUUUCCUAUCCUGUUUCAUCCACCACCACAAAAUACCUAAGUGACAGCUAUGGGACUAUCUACAGGCAAUACAUACAAGCUGUUGACAAGUUUUUGCAUGGAAAAUGAAGAAGCUGAGACCAUUCACUGCUGUUUCUAAUAGACUUCUCAGAAAGAAUAAGAGAAUAGUAAUCAAAUUGUGGUCAAAGCCAUCUAACAGAGGAUAACAGACCCAGGAAUCAGUUAAAUUCAAGGACUUGAAACAGUUUGCAAAAGCUGCAGCAGGGCAUUUUCCUUUGUGAGGGAAAGCUCCAGGAUCAGUUCUAAAAGACAAAAGAAUAUUAAUACUAAUGUCCCUUUAUCCCCCAGUGCCUUUCCAAGUGCUUAGGUCUCAGUCUCUCUCUCUCUGUCUCUCUCUCUCUAACACUGCCACAAAAUUAAUGUGUCCCAUUCUAGUAACUAUAACCUCUUUCCAAUCAUGCUUCUAAUCUCACCUAAAAUUUUCAUCUGGAACAGUCAGUCAAGAGCAAGAGUGACAAGGGAAUUUUUAUAAAACAUAUAAAAACCCA
rnacentral:lncRNA from 10 species